UCUUUUUAUGAAGAUGUGGCGCUUUUCUGGGGAGCAAUGUUUGGUUAAGGACACUUUUGAAAACAAAACAAAAAGAACCACCAAAACCCUGCUUGUUUUUUCUUGCCUGUGUAGCACUGAGUAUCACAGAUUAAUUACGAAAUGACAACUGUUAAGUCAGUUUUUCCUCAUUUGUUCUUUUAGGGUCUUUUUCUUAACACUAGUACAGUCCUGUAUUACCUAGGAAAGCAUUUUUAGUCCAUGUAUCUCACAGUUUAGUUGAGCAUAAAGAAUAGGGGCUAGAAAGUAGUUCUCCAUAUAGCUAAUACACACUUUCCCUCUCCAUAUCUUCCCUGUAAAUCAUGUAGUUGUAUGUUUUCUUUAUGGUUGUAACUUCAGACAGAGGCUCCAUUAGAUUGGUACCAAAGGAGUGAUUUUUAGGAAAGGAAUGAUGUGUUUUGCCAUGUAAACAUCUCCUCUCAUAUUAUAGUAAUGUUGGUAUGGGAUAUUUUUGAUCCUACCAUCAUGUGUUCUUAAGGAAAAUGUAAUUUAGUUUUUCUGGUUUUGCUUGAGUCAGGAACUUAGGGAUGGAUCUGAGCUGGGGAAGGAUGUGGAUAAAUGCAUAAAAUACAUUUAUGGUGCAAGCCAUUUCAGUGUUUACCACACUGGAAUUCAGUCUAUUAUGUUAGGUCCACUAAGCAUUCGUAGCAUUAGAGAUGGGAACCAUGGUGUGACUUGUAUUCCAUGUGUGGAUUUAAAACAGGUAAGUGCAACAGAAAGGAAGGGGAAAGGAGGAUAAUAAUUGAGUUCACAGGAUUAUAAGAGCUAAUUGUGUAAAACAAAACUAUAUUCCCUGGUAGUUCAUGGUGUUCAGCUCGGUAGUUUGCAUCUCUACUGAGAUACAGCCACAGCAGGGGUACAGGCUUUGGUACUACAAGUAAAUCAAUCUGUACUGACAUUUGGGUAUUCAAUCCACUGAAAUUGAUAUAAGAUGAUGCACUUGGAUUGGAUCCUAAUAGUAGAAGUGAAAGUAUUAAAUCAUAUUUACUUCCAGAAUUUUUGCACUUUAUGUGCUUUUUUGACACUGUUUUGUUUUGGGUUUUUUUGAGACGCUUGCAUUUUGUUACUUCCUUCCAUUCCAUCCAGACUACAGCUUUUAAAAAUCUUCUCGCAUUUCAACCUGAAAAUUAUAAGGUUCCUUUUCUGAAAUCCCUCACUGACUCUCCUUCCUGUGUUGUGCUGAGUUUAAAGAUGUCUUCAAAGACUCGGUAGAAGCCUUUUUCCUUUUAUAUCUGGUUCCUUGCUAUUUUUCCUCUGUUUUUGCUUCUGUCAGUAAUAUGAGACUCAAUGCUCUGGUUUAUGUUUAGGCAUUUGUGUUUCUCUCCUUGUCCCUAAAAUACUCUGUCUUAGUGUUAGUUCACAAAGCCAGAAUCUCUUAUGUGAGUCCAGUGCUUUACAGCUUGGCUGUUCCAUAAUAUCCUCAAGGAAUUACUUAUAUUUAAACAGAAUACUUUCUGGAAAUAUUCUAUAAAGUUGUCCUGAUCCUCUUCCUAUUUAUUUCCCUCCUACUGCCUGCUGGAAGCUGCGAGCUUAUAAAUUCUGCUUGGUCCUGUAAAGCAUCGUGCAUGCCUUUGAAUGAACAGUUACUCCUGUAGAGAAAUCAACAGGAGAGUAGGGCUAUCAUGGUCUGACUUCUUGCAUCUGUUGAGAAAUAGUAGCAUCUCAGAAGUUUGUGACUGUUUUCUUCAAGAAGGAAGUUGAUUAAAAACUUACAGGGGUGUCCUAGCGAAACUCUGAAAUGCAAAAUAACCUGUUGUAACUGAAUCCCCUGCAGUUAUUUUCACUCAAACUUCAUUAUGAGAGGCCUAUUCAGUGUGAAAUUAAUGCCUUAUUCCACUCUGUGGGCAGCAGGAUUUCUGUGAGAGCUUGAACUAUUUCUGUAUCUUUCGGUAUUUCUAAAGUAACUUCAGGGAAAGCACUAGCUGUUUCAUUUAAAUUAAUCCAUGUCUGAAGCUGUUUAUGUUUGCACUUAUAUAGAUUGUAUUAUUAACUGCUGCACAAAGAUUACUGGUCUGUAAGCAUGUAGAGAAUAAUUUCAUAAUUUUCUUUGCCCACCAGCUUAUCAGGGAUUGUUUUCGGGGAAGGAGAUUUGUUCUGGGAUCAUGUUGGAAAACCCGUCAGUUUGCAGAACAAAAUGGAAGCAACAGCAUGGAAUUUAGCCAUCUUUGAAUAAUAAAGAUACCGCUUUGUUGUCUGUUGACAUAUAAAGACUUUAAUUUCACCUACAGCCUAUUCUCAGAUUUAUUUCUACAAACACUGAGCCUAACAGCGGUCCUUACACACAGCUUCAUUGGAUUUUCUUUGUGGAGGGCUUGCUGGACUUGUUUUGUAGGCAUGUUUGUAUGCAGUUUUCAGAUUUUGAUUGCAAGUGCUGCUCUAACCAUAGCUGUGCUACCUUUUCAGUAGACUAAAACUAAAAAAGUAGAGCAGCUGUGAUUAGACUGGUUAGACAGACUUAGUUGCGUCUGAGUCAGACUGCUGUUGCACAGCAGUAAUGUCAUGCAGUUUUUAUGACCAGAGACCAUGAAUUUCCACACGCUUGUUUUCUGUUUGUUUACUCUUAGCAUGACUUCAGUUCUUGGUUUGUAUACUAAUGCUUAGAAUCUCUUCCGAUGUUUUGCUCAACACUGGAGACUUGGAGUUAGAUAACUCUCAGCUGCAGCUGAAAACAAAUCUGUCACUAUACACCCCUUCUAAUUGCUGAUUUCAUUUAAUGUCUAAAAUGCAUUUGAUUGUGAAUCUCACUGAACUUGGUAAGAACAGUUUCAAUGUUUGAGUUAUGUCUUGUCAUUUUCACAGUUUCUAUUUCCCUGUAGGCUGUUUUGUCCAGCUGUGUUCAGUCUCCUUACUGUCUUUUCUGUUUUAAAGCCCGGAGUACUGUCAGCUUCAGGGUUAGAAAAACGGAGCUCCCUAAUUUCUGUAGCAGUAGCUCUUUUCAGCUUUUGACUAUGAUUCAGUUUCUAGAGUGUUUUAUGAUGUAUUUCUCAGGUGUUGUAACUAAAGAAAUAGGGUAUUAGUGAAACAAAGUUGUGAUUCUGAUGAUUCACUCUUUUCUGGCGUUUUAGAAAUUCAUUGGUCCUAGCUUGAUCUGUCUUCCAGCAAUGGAGCAAAGACUUUGCAAUUUCUGUUAAGAUUUAUGGACUCCUGUGUGUAGAUUUAUAUGGGAAUGCAUUGUUAGACAUCAAGUGUUUGGUCUCCCUUUAAGUCUCUAAGUGUAACUUUACCAAAGGCUGAUAGAGAGUAGCACUCAGUAAACUCAGAUUUGAAUUUAAUAUUGCCUUUAUAUAUAUAUUUUUAAAACUAAUGCUUAAUUUGAUCACUUUUUUGUAAUUCCCCUGUAAUGUAUUACUUUGGCUAGAUUACCAUCAAAUACAGUACAUGGUGUUGAUGGUGGAGCCUCUCGCUGCUGGUGGCUGUGAAAAAGAACUGUCUUUCCUGACUGCCUUUGUUCCUCCCAGCUCAUUCUUGCUGCCUUCCUGUGGCCAGCAUUAGUCUUUGGGCGGCUGCUUGGUGAACUCAGUGAAGACCUGGUGUAGCUUUUUUUCUCCUUCCUAGAUGGGUCAGGGAUCCAUCUUGCUGUAGACCGUGUGAAUGUUUCUGCUGCCACAGGCGAGAGCUAGAACAAGUGGCUGAAGGGAUGUGGUGGUGACGGCAGCCAGUUGUCCUGGCUGGAGCGGCUCUUCCACCAUGGUGUUGGUCUGGCUUGUCAUGUAUUCUUGGUGAAAUGCCUAACUUUCUAGAAACUUUUGACUAAUUUUCGUUUUACUAGUACAUGCAGCAAAAUGGAGUAAUCAAACCAGCUGGGCUCUUUUCUUACAUUGCCAGAUGUUUUUAUAUGUACUUUAUUUGAAAACAGUGAGAGCUGUUCAUUGUGAGUAAGCAGACCUCUGUCCUGGGUCACCUCAAGCAUCUGAGCAAGCAGACGUGCAUGUGAAGAGCAUUAUGAUAAUCCAAUUCAGAGGUAGCUAAACCAGUAAUGUAGACUGUGGCAGGUUAGACAAGAAUCUGAUUAACUUCGCUUUCCCAGGUGAACCAGCCCAAAACACAUUUGAGGCACUUCAUUGCUAGCACUCAUUAAGUCUUCAGAGUCAGUAUAACGAGAGAGACCCUUCUGAGAGUGAUUCAGCCCCGCUGUAAGAUCUGAAAUGACCGUCUCAUUCACUGGGCAAUACAAAGGGAACUGUGUGCAGUUAUCAUGCUGCUUAACCUGGUGCAUCAGUGAGGUAAGACGAAUUGGAGACCUUGUAUAUAGAGUCCAAAGGAAACAGGAGAGAGUGGGUUUUGGCAAGAUUAAAGAGGUCAUUUGAAUUUAAACAGAGAUAGUUUGAAAACAAAGUCCAGUCCAAAUGAGGUCAGUAGCAAAGACUGGGGAAAUCAGAGAUUAGGAAAUCAAAGAAGUGUAGCCAAAAGUCAGUUGUAGUAAAUAAAAGUUAGGGAAAUGUUUUUUGUGGCUAUCAAAAGAAAAGGUAUUUUGAUUCUAUAUUGCACGUGAAAAGAGGAAGCUGAGGAGGGCUAGGGCAUUUAUAGAGGAGACAGAUGACCUGUGAUGGAGGAGAUCAGUUUUUUAUAUCAAAACAUAAAUUAAAUUAGUCAUAACCAAAUAGCCUUACUGUUAAAACAACCAUUAAUGACACUGACUACCUUGUUGUAAUAAGAGCAUAAAAUACUCUCCAAGUUACGGGAAUUGCCUGUAGAGGCUAAGAAAGAAUAUGGGGGGCGGGGGGGGAGAUUCUGGGAGAUGAGGUUUGAGCCCUGAACAUUCCAUCAGAGUUGUUUGUCAGAGGCUGUAAAGGAGAGGAAAGCUUGUGGUGGUAUGAUGAUUAGGCGUGGGACAAGAAAUGCAGCAUAGGAAGGAGGGUGAAUUUUCACUGUGGUGUGGCUAAUGCCAUUUGUAAUUCAGUGCCUAAUAAAUUAGGAAAUGAACCUAUAAACUUUUCAGCUGAUGCAGUUUACUUACAAGUUUCUAAGUUUUUGAGAUUCUAAGUUGCUGUAAGACUAGUUUAAAUUUAAAAAUUGAAAGCUCAUUAAAGGAGAGGAAGCAAGGGCAGGGCUUAAUGGUCACUGUUCAGGGUGGACAGCAAUCUGGGUGGUGACAUCCCUCCUCAUCCUCCCCCCCCCAAGAGUUCUGUGCUGUGAUCAGUCUUACUCCUCAUUUCCAUUGCUGUUGUGGUCUAAGAAAUGUAGGCAGUAAUUUCCAGGUUUUUGAGUGGUAUUGCACUGCCUCAGGUAAUGAUAGUGGUACUGAAGAUUUCCAGAAGGACUUCUAUGAGCUUCAGUAUAGCUGUAUGUAUGGUUAUAUGUCCGGGUGGUUGGGAAUAAUCAAACUGAUUGCAUGAAACUGAAUUUGGAGCUGGCAGUUGCACUGUGGAGACAAUGAUUUGAGAGAGCUGUUGGUGCUAAUUCUGGGAUCUUUCCUGUUUGCAGCAGCAGCCAAAAAAGCCACCGAUGUUAUGCAUCGACAGGGUGUUGAAAACAAUAUCUAUCGAGGGUGUUGCUGCGUGGUCCUGAAAGCCUUGGGGCACUCACAUUCGGAGUACUGCAUGCGGUUUUGGUCUCCCCAUCCUGAGGAGUGUGCGUAAUGGAGUUACCAAAGAUACAGAAGAACUUUACUGAAAAGAGUUAGGGAACUGAGCAGCUGUCUUGCAAGGAGACAGUCAGAAGGCGGGGAUGUUUCAAUAUGGGAAUGAGAAGGCAGGAAGGGGGGUGACUAUGUACAGAACGGGGAAGGCAGUAGAUGAGGUGAAUGUGCAACAGCAACUCUCCAAAUUCUGCAGUAUUAGAGCUCAGGGACGGUAGGUGAAAUGAGUAGGCGACUGAUUUAAAGCAGAUGUACAGUGUAGUGAACUGCUGGAACUUGGUCCUGUGGGAGGUGGUGGAAGCGGUUAGUAUGGGCAGGUUCAAAAAGAGGUUAAACGCUUGCAUACACAACUGCACCAUAAGCGAAUACUAAAGCGAAUGGACUUUGGUGUCCCUGCUACAACAGUUGGGGGUGCUGCGGAGAUACAAAAGGUAUGCACGGCAGGCUUGUAUGGUCUCCCCGGGUAAGACUUGCUGUUGCCAGUGAUGAAGGUAGGCUUAGAUGGACCGCUGGUCAGACCUGAAGGGCAGUUUCUACGUUCCAGUUAUGGGCAUGAGGAAGAACAUUCCUAAAAUGACCAAGAACAGGAGGGAGAGCGAUAUUAAAGUAUACUGAGUAUUCCCUUCCUUGGGAUGUUGUGGUUCUGUACGUUUUGUCAACAAGGAUUUUACUAGAAAUGUGACAGUUGCUUGAGAAUUACUGAUGUGCUGCUUAGCUGUGGCAGCGGUGAGGAGGGUCAGCUACGACUUGGAAAAUGCUGCUGCACAGAACAUGCUCUGCUAAACCAGCUAUUCAGAAGCACCGAGUCUCCUUUUUAAAGGACUUAUGAAGAAGCUUUUAAACUCUAGCUCGUAAGUGACUUGGAGGAUCAAAAUUUAGUUCAGGUGAACAAAAAGAUUUGAAAACAAGUUUAUUGACAAAUGAAAAGUUUACUUUUUCGCAUACUGUAACCAUUGUCCUUCAUUAUAGCUUCAGGUUUGUUUUAUUCAGUCUCAUACAUGUUAACUUAAUUACCUUGUAGACUGUUGCUCAGUGGCGUGUGGCAUAAGGCAGAACGCUGUUUUCCAGGCACCAGGUUCUUGGAAAUUGAGUUACAACUUUUAAGCUACUGUUCCAGGGGAGGAAACAAGCCAGACAUAGCAUGGUGCCCUAGCCCGUUACGUUAUUUUGCUAGUCCCUUCUAAAUAUAUUAAAAACACCUUAAACAUUACCUUUUUUUUGUCUCCAGUACCAAGGGGGGCAGUGUGGGUUGUCCUGGUUAGGUCUUUACCUGCUUUUUUUGGUUAACUCGGCAACCCACUUCCAGUUUGUGUUGGGUGCCAGCAUUCAGCCAACCUGAUUGUAAAUGUUUGUGUCUCUAAAGCGGCCGUAUGGGUGCAGGAAAUAAAAUCCUCUACUAAUACAUUUAAUAGUUUCUUAUCUCAUGAUCACAUUAACAUUUCAAAUUAAAGGGAUAACAGUAAGCAAAGGUAAGUGGAGGUGGGUAGAAUUACAGUGUCGUUUCAUACUCUCUGUGCUUGCAACUUUUUCUUUCUUUUUGAAUGGCUAGAUUUUAGCCUUUUGGCUUCUGAUAACUGCAGCGAUACUGAAAGUGAUUUUCUCCUUAGUUCUUGAAUUUCCAGUCAGAGUAUGUGAGGUGUAGCCAACCCUGAAAUGUUCAUGGAGAAAAAAAACCUUCCAGAAUAAAAAAAACUGUUUCCAUUAUAGUAGAAAUAGUCUUGGAGAUGACGGUUUCUUUGGUAAA